UACAGAGGUGGCAAGCGUUGUUCGGAAUUACUGGGCGUAAAGGGCGCGUAGGCGGCCAUCUAAGUCAGACGUGAAAUCCCCCGGCUUAACCUGGGAACUGCGUCUGAUACUGGACGGCUUGAGUAUGGGAGAGGGAUGUAGAAUUCCAGGUGUAGCGGUGAAAUGCGUAGAUAUCUGGAGGAAUACCGGUGGCGAAGGCGGCAUCCUGGACCAUUACUGACGCUGAGUCGCGAAAGCUAGGGGAGCAAACGGG
rnacentral:rRNA from 1 species